ACAGCAGCAGCCGCGGGAAUACGGAGGGUGCAAGCGUUAAUCGGAAUUACUGGGCGUAAAGCGCACGCAGGCGGUUUGUUAAGUCAGAUGUGAAAUCCCCGAGCUUAACCUGGGAACUGCAUUUGAAACUGUCAGGCUGGAGUCUUGUAGAGGGGGGUAGAAUUCCAGGUGUAGCGGUGAAAUGCGUAGAGAUCUGGAGGAAUACCGGUGGCGAAGGCGGCCCCCUGGACAAAGACUGACGCUCAGGUGCGAAAGCGUGGGGAGCAAACAGGAUUAGAUACCCCAUAGUCCCUGUCUCUUAUACA
rnacentral:rRNA from 1 species